rnacentral:rRNA from 1 species
CAGCAGCCGCGGUAAUACGGAGGGUGCAAGCGUUAAUCGGAAUUACUGGGCGUAAAGCGCACGCAGGCGGUCUGACAAGUCAGAUGUGAAAUCCCCGGGCUUAACCUGGGAACUGCAUUUGAAACUGUCAGGCUGGAGUCUUGUAGAGGGGGGUAGAAUUCCAGGUGUAGCGGUGAAAUGCGUAGAGAUCUGGAGGAAUACCGGUGGCGAAGGCGGCCCCCUGGACAAAGACUGACGCUCAGGUGCGAAAGCGUGGGGAGCAAACAGGAUUAGAUACCCCGGUAGUCCCUGUCUCUUUACC